UACGUAGGGAGCAAGCGUUGUUCGGAUUUACUGGGCGUAAAGGGCGCGUAGGCGGCAAUUCAAGUCAUCUGUGAAAUCUCCGGGCUUAACUCGGAACGGUCAGAUGAUACUGCUUUGCUAGAGUGCAGAAGGGGCAAUCGGAAUUCUUGGUGUAGCGGUGAAAUGCGUAGAUAUCAAGAGGAACACCUGAGGUGAAGACGGGUUGCUGGGCCGACACUGACACUGAGAGACGAAAGCUAGGGGAGCGAAUGGG
rnacentral:rRNA from 1 species